GGGCCCGCGUAGGAAAAGGUACUUUUUCUCUUUGCUCUGUACGCCUGUCUCUCACUUCUCUACCACGGCAUGCUGAUGGAGAGCUAGGGUUUCGCCGCCGCCGCCGCCAUACCCUCGCCGCGUAACCCGCUGCUCGGACGUCCCCGCUGCUCACCCCGCCGCCGAGGCUCACCCCGGCUCAAGUCGCGGCCCUCCUCUCUAGGCGCAGCGGCGACCGGCGUCGACGACCGGCGGUGACAAUCGGCGGCGACGACCAAGCCCGUCUCUCCACGCGCAGCGGUGAACGGAGGCGGCGACCGAGCCCGCCUCUCCACGCGGCAGCAGCGACUGGUCCCAUCUACGUCAUCUUCGAUCCAGUCCAUCCCUCGACGUCCCCCUCUCUGUUAGACGAAUGUGGCAUCCGGACGCCGCCUUGGCUCCCUUUACAGGGAAGGUUGUUUGCAGUGAUGGUUGACAACAUAUGCGCAGGAUUUUUCUGAAGUUCAUGCUUGGGUUACAUCAGAUACACAAUGAGAAGCCCGCGGUUCAAGUUGGGCGACAACCUCAUCAAAUUAUGAGAGAAGAUGUGGCGGAUUGGCAUGCACGGCAAGAAACGAAGAAUACCACAGGCAAAUGGCGCUAUCUGGGGGUUUUACAGUAGUAUGAAGUUUUCAGUCUGCUCCUAUUAAAAGUCAUGCAAAUUCGUAUGGAGUACCAAUUAUCUGGGUUGAUGCAGAAUGGAAGAGGAGGAGUGGGGUACCAAUCUAGAAGUUUAGUGAAUGGAACAAGUAUGUGAGUCAACCGAUGAACAACUAGAUAAGCAUUGGAGGUCACUCCAUUCUGAAUCUAGAAGGCACUGGAUGUUGUAUGAUAAAAUUGUUGACAUGAAGUCUCCUCGAGCAGAGCUCUGCUUCUUUCCUUUUAGUUCGGUGCAUCACAGCUUUCCCACUGUGCCACCAUCCAUCUUUCCCAUGUGUGAGCGUGUGGUUUCCAUAGAGGGGAGGGGUGUCAAAAAUAUGAGUCAAGACUCAAGACAACAUAAACUAAGUUCUUAAUUUGCACAGACUAUUCAGUGUUCAUAUUCCCAGGAGUUCUAAAUUUUGUGGGGCAUUUUGUCAUGAAGUUGGUUCUUUGCUUCCACAAGAUGUUAUCCCAAUUUGUGGGGCGUUAUGGAAAAUGAGUUGGACCACAACAUUAAUAUAUUUGCUUCAGAUGAUGAAGACGACGAGAUUGUUAAUGUGAAUGGUCAGCUACCGUCUCAGACUCGUGGUCGUUGCCGACAGAGGGAGGAACCGGGUGACCCAAAAUUGGACGAUGUGAUCUUGCGCCCAGUUUGCCAUCGAUGGCGGCGGCGAAGGGGAGAACCGGAUCCUGUUAUAAUUAUGUCAGAAUCCUCGACAAGGAUGCUCAAUGAUUGCCGAGAAGACUUUACCUGCAGACCCGUUCAGGCACAACCAACAUCAGGGAAGAAAGGAAGAAACAACAAGGUGGUCCACUUCAUGUGAUCAGAUUUUCCAGAGUAGUAUCUUAAUCUGGUACUGCCACUCGUGAUGUAGUAUGCGUUCUGAUGCUCUGAAGUAGAGUGUAAAAUGUAUGGUACCGUGUAGGAGCUGUGGUACAUGCAAAGCGGAUUACCGUGUCCAUAGAUCGAUCGCCAGCUUGACAAGGUUGUUUAGUGAUUGCUAGAGAACAGAACCACGAGCUUUGCGUGUGUUUAGGUGUAAAGUUUAUUUCCGAGAAAGCAACUUCAGAUGCAUUCUGAACAUUUGCCGGUAUGAAUGCUGGUGUCAGACCGAGAACCCGUGUGUCCAUGGUCGGUCAUUUGACAUGUUUUGGGCUGUGUAGACUUUGAAGAGUCCAUCGGCGGAACCCAAUGUUUUUGGUUCUAACUGAAACUACAUGCAUCAUUUGUUCAACAGGCUACCA